UACGUAGGGGGCUAGCGUUGUCCGGAAUCAUUGGGCGUAAAGCGCGUGUAGGCGGUCCGGUAAGUCCGCUGUGAAAGUCGGGGGCUCAACCCUCGGAUGCCGGUGGAUACUGUCGGGCUUGAGUACGGAAGAGGCGAGUGGAAUUCCUGGUGUAGCGGUGAAAUGCGCAGAUAUCAGGAGGAACACCAAUUGCGAAGGCAGCUCGCUGGGACGUUACUGACGCUGAGACGCGAGAGCGUGGGGAGCAAACAGG
rnacentral:rRNA from 1 species